rnacentral:rRNA from 1 species
AGGACGAACGCUGGCGGCGUGCUUAACACAUGCAAGUCGAGCGGAAAGGCCCUUCGGGGUACUCGAGCGGCGAACGGGUGAGUAACACGUGAGGAACCUGCCCUUAACUCUGGGAUAGCUUCGGGAAACCGGAAUUAAUACCGGAUACGACAACGAUCGGCAUCGAUCGCGGUGGAAAGAUUUAUCGGUUAGGGAUGGACUCGCGGCCUAUCAGCUUGUUGGUGAGGUAACGGCUCACCAAGGCGACGACGGGUA